AGUCAGGUACCUCUCUGCUUUGGUACUUCUUCGCUUUUGUUUUCAUGGCAAUCAUCGAAAAGCAAAAGCACCCUUACGCCACAAGAAGUAAGGGGAAAAUGCCAGCAACUGAGCUGGAACAGGGUGAGCAAUCCCGACCAAAGGGACCCGACAAUGCUCAACCUGUUGAAACAAACUCGGUUCCUCCUCUCGUCGAGGAACACAUAGUGCCCAAG
rnacentral:lncRNA from 1 species